rfam:Brachypodium distachyon strain Bd21 chromosome 2, whole genome shotgun sequence.
AUGGUACUCCCUCCGUUCCAUAAUUCUUGUCUCAAAUUUGCCCAAAAAUGGAUAUAUUUAUUCCUAAAAAGCGUCUAGAUACAUGUAAUAUUUCGACAAGAAUUAUGGAACGGAGGGAGUAUAUU